rnacentral:lncRNA from 1 species
UGUGUGCUGUACAACAGCGGCAAGCUGCAGCUCUCCCUGCAGGAAAUCAUCGAAUGGCUGACGGCCAAAGACGAGGAGCUGUCCGAGCAGCUGCCCAUAGGGGGCGACGUGGGGGCGGUGCAGCACCAGCGGGAGUUCCAUCAGGCCUUCAUGGAGGAUGUAAAGUCCAGGGGACCAUUCAUCUACUCGGUGUUGGAGUCUGCCCAGGCCUUCCUGGCCCAGCAUCCUUUCCAGGAGCCUGAGGAGACGCUGCCAGAUGGCAAAGAGGUGUCGCCGAGGCGGCGAAUGUUGAACGUGAGCCGCUCGGUGUGGAAGCAGGCCAACGUGGCCAGCGAUCUGUGGGAGAAGCUGACGGCACGCUGUGUGGACCGGCACCGGCACAUGGAGCGUACACUGGAGAGGCUGCUGCAGGUCCAGGCAGCGAUGGAGGAGCUGGCUGGAGCUCUGGAGCAGGCUGAAGGAGUGAGGGAUGCCUGGGAACCUGUGGGAGAUCUCUUCAUCGACUCACUGCAGGACCACAUAGAUGCCACCAAGCUGUUUAAGGAGGAGUUGUCUCAAGUCAAGGAGGGCAUGAAGCACAUCAAUGACCUCGCCCACCAGCUAGCCAUCUCCGACGUGCACUUGUCUAUGGAGAACGCCCGCGCCCUGGAGCAUCUCAACAGCAGAUGGAAGCUGCUGCAGGGUUCCAUUGAAGAGCGCCUGAAGCAGCUGCAGGAUGCCCACAGAGAUUUUGGCCCCGGAUCACAGCACUUUCUCUCCAGUAAGAGAGCUAUCACGCUCGGGCUUGCACCGGGCCGCCCGCUCCAUCAGGCCCAGACCACCUGCUGGGAUCAUCCAAAGAUGACAGAAUUGUACCAGGCUCUGGCGGACCUGAACAAUAUCAAGUUCUCUGCGUACCGGACGGCGAUGAAGCUGCGGCGAGUGCAGAAAGCUCUGAGAUUGGACCUGCUGAAGCUGACCAGUGUGACGGACGUGUUCCGGGAGCAGGAGCUGCAGCACGGCGAGUACGUGAUGGACGUGGUGGAGGUGAUCCAUGCCCUGACCGCUCUGUAUGAAAGACUGGAGGAGGAGAGAUCUGUACUCAUCAACAUCCCUCUCUGUGUGGACAUGUGCCUCAACUGGCUGCUCAACGUCUAUGACAGCGGCCGGAACGGUAAGAUGCGGGUGCUCUCCUUCAAGACGGGGGUGGUGAGCCUAUGCAAUGCAGAUGUGCAGGAGAAAUACAGAUAUUUGUUCAGACAGGUGUGUGGUCCAAACGGACUGACGGAUCAGAAGCACCUCAGUCUGCUGCUCCAUGAAGUUAUUCAGAUCCCUCGCCAGCUGGGUGAGGUAGCAGCCUUCGGGGGGAGCAACGUGGAGCCCAGCGUCCGGAGCUGCUUCCGCAUGGCCCCGGGGAAACCAGCUAUCGAGGUUUCUCACUUUCUGGAGUGGAUGAGUUUGGAGCCGCAGUCGGUGGUGUGGUUGCCUGUCCUGCACCGCGUGACGGCGGCCGAAUCUGCCAAGCACCAGGCGCGCUGCUACAUCUGUAAACAAUGCCCCAUCAAGGGCUUCAGGUACCGAAGUCUGAAACAGUUUAACGUAGACAUCUGCCAGAUGUGUUUCCUGACCGGACGAACAACCAAAGGCAAAAGGCUACACUACCCCAUAAUGGAGUACUACACCCCGAACUGGAAAAUAUUUCCAAACAGAAGCUCAAGUUUAAGCAAUCCAUAUUACAGUAAUAACUACUCAAGUAAGCUGGCAGAAAUGGAAAGCCAGAGUUGCUCCUUCUUCACUGACAGCCUCUCUCCUGAUGAAAGUCUGGAUGAAGAUCAGUACCUCCUGCGUCACUCCAGCCCCGCCCUGGAACAGGACUCUCCGCCCGGGCCACACCUCCUCGCCCACCUCGACUGCCACAACAAGGAGGAGCUGCAGCGAACGCUGGCACGGCUGGAGAACGAGAACAGGAUGCUGCAGGGCGAGUACCGGCGGCUGAAGUGGAAGCACGAGGAGGCGGCGGCAGCUCCGCAGCUGGUGGAGGGCGGCGCGGGAUCGCCGGCGGGUCAGCAGGACGAGGAGCUCCUGGCCGAAGCUCGAGUCCUGCGGCAGCACAAGACCCGCCUGGAGACCCGCAUGCAGAUCCUGGAGGACCACAACAAGCAGCUGGAGUCGCAGCUCUGCCGGCUCCGGGAGCUGCUGCUGCAGCCCAAAGAUGAUUCUGAGGCCAACGGAUCAGCGCCAUCCUCUCUGUCCUCACCUGUGUCUGUGAUUCACCUGAGGGGGCCAUCCAGCAGAGAGACCGCCGACAUGGAGGCUGCAGGAGAUGAUGAUCUGGACGUGGAGCAGGACACGGUGCUGCAGCUGCAGGAGGUGAUUGAACAGCUGAGGAACGUCUUCCCGUCAGAACCGGUCCAGUGAGGACCCUCAACCACUAGAGAGGAGCCUGUAGUUUCACAGGUGCCAUAAAGCUCAUCUAAUCAUGGGUUUUGCAAGUCUGGAGUAUGCAAGACGGACAGAAAUGCAGACAGACAGAAAUGCAGACAGACAGAGAGAUGGGCUCAGCAGGGCAGAGGGUUCACUUCCCUGUCCUCACUGAUUCUGCUAUACUGCAGUGAAGAGUUCCUGACUGAUAACUAACCAACGUCCUCCUGGUGCCAAAGGCCAGCCAGCGCCUGAUCCGUCCGUCCACUGUGCUAACCAGCUGCCUGUAGUAACGGCAGGCGAGUGUGGCUUCUUCACUACAGCACAACCACCUCUCAGCCAAUCAGCACAGAGAGGAGAAGAGAAGCCCCUUACCUGUACCUGUACCUGUACUUAUACCUGUACUUAAUACCUGUACUGACAGUAUAUCCUGUGCCAGCAGCUUCAGUUCAGUUCAUUUUCUAUUUUUAAUCAUAUUUAAGUUGGCUUGGAAAAAUCUAACUUACUCUUCUUACUUCUUUAUUAUUAUUAUUAUUAUUAUUAUUAUUAUUAUUAUCAUUAUUAUUAUUAUUAUUCUGUGUUAAGAAUUUAAUCACUACUAUACCCGUGCAGUUUACAUACAAUGUUUUUUAGGCUUGGACAUUUCCCCAUAGGAAUCCAUUCAAAACUGUCCAUAAACUUUUGUCAAAAAUGACAAAAGGCUUUACAGGUCACAAUUUGCUUGGACGAUAAAUUUGAAACAUUUUAGAAGAUAUGCUCCUCGAACAGAUACAAUUUACGGUUUUUGUUAAAUUAGCGUAUAUUUACUCCACGUAGACAUGAAUGGUCAGCCAAAGUAUUUGCACACUGGCUGUCAAAAGUAUUGGUAUUACAUCAUUUAGACAAAAGUGUUUGGACAUGGCCAUAUUAGCCAGCAGCUUUUAAAUGUCCAGUUUUUAAUCAAACGUUUUUCGACCCAGCUCUGUCAGACAAACGUAUAAGCAUUCCAACAUUUAAUGGUCGAAUUAUGAUUAUUAUUAUUUUUUUUAAUUAACGU